CAGGUGGUGCAUGGUUGUCGUCAGCUCGUGUCGUGAGAUGUUGGGUUAAGUCCCGCAACGAGCGCAACCCUUAUCCUUAGUAGCCAGCACGUAAUGGUGGGCACUCUGGGGAGACUGCCAUGGAUAACCUGGAGGAAGGUGGGGAUGACGUCAAAUCAUCAUGCCCCUUAUGAUUUGGGCUACACACGUGCUACAAUGGCGUAAACAAAGGGAGGCAAAGGAGCGAUCCGGAGCAAACCCCAAAAAUAACGUCUCAGUCCGGAUUGCAGGCUGCAACUCGCCUGCAUGAAGCUGGAAUCGCUAGUAAUCGCGAAUCAGAAUGUCGCGGUGAAUACGUUCCCGGGUCUUGUACACACCGCCCGUCACACCAUGGGAGUUGGUAACGCCCGAAGUCAGUGACCCAACCGAAAGGAGGGAGCUGCCGAAGGCGGGACUGAUAACUGGGGUGAAGUCGUAACAAGGUAGCCGUAUCGGAAGGUGCGGCUGGAUCACCUC
rnacentral:rRNA from 1 species